CGGGACAGUUCAAGUAGUCGUGUACCCAGGUCCCAAGCUGUGGAUAGCAGGUCCAUAGAUGGUCUUUCACAUGAAAGGUCCAUUUAUAAUAGGGCUGUGCCAACCACAUUCUCCCUGUCAGAAGCGAAAUUCCAGAAAAUAGUGCUUACAAAACUGGUGACUCUCACUGAUGACGUCAAAAAACUCCAGAGGAGCCUACCUAACUCUACAAUUGAGAUAACCAAGAUUGACACCUUGGAAGAGUUCGAGAGGGAGGCGGCUUCUCUUCUGGACAAAAACAAAUUUGAAACCUUGGCUCUUCACCAAUCAGCUGAUGACCCUAUUCAAUAUGAAGGGGAAGGGCAAGAAAGAUAAAAUUAGAAUUGAAGACAAGAAAUUGUUUUCAGCAAUAAAAGCUGCUGUCAUGAAAUGGGACCCAGCUGCAACAGAGGCCCAAAUAAAGUCUGCUGCAUCUGAACAUAUGAAACAUGCCCCCGGGAGAGUCGGGGGUGGUGGCUACAAAUAAUAUAUUGUGCACCUUUUGUGCCACAUUUUGUUAAUUGUUUACAUUUUAUAGCACUUUUAUUUAUAACUUUACUGU